CGGAAAUGCUCAGAUAUUACUCAGAACACCGAUUGCGAAGGCAGCUUAACCAAGCUGUAUUUGACACUGAGGCACGAAAGCGUGGGUAGCGAAACAGGAUUAGAUACCCUGGUAGUCCACGCCGUAAACGAUGAUAACUCGUUGCUGGCGAUACACAGUUCAGUGACUAAGGGAAACCGAUAAGUUAUCUACCUGGGGAGUACGACCGCAAGGUUGAAACUCAAAGGAAUUGACGGGGGCCCGCACAAGCGGAGGAACAUGUGGUUUAAUUCGAUGAUACGCGAGGAACCUUACCCAGGCUUGAAAGUUAAUGACCGUCCCUGAAAGGGGAUUUCUCUUCGGAGCAUGGAACUAGGUGCUGCAUGGUUGUCGUCAGCUCGUGCCGUGAGGUGUCGGGUUAAGUUCCAUAACGAGCGCAACCCUUGUCGUUAGUUGCUAACAGGUGAAGCUGAGGACUCUAGCGAGACUGCCGGUGUAAACCGUGAGGAAGGUGGGGAUGACGUCAAAUCAGCACGGCCCUUACGUCUGGGGCGACACACGUGUUACAAUGGGUGGUACAGAGAGUUGCGAGGCAGUGAUGUUGAGCCAAUCUCAAAAAGCCAUUCUCAGUUCGGAUCGCAGGCUGCAACCCGCCUGCGUGAAGUUGGAUUCGCUAGUAAUCGCACAUCAGCCAUGGUGCGGUGAAUACGUUCCCGGGCCUUGUACACACCGCCCGUCAAGCCAUGGAAGUUUGGGGUGCCUGAAGUACGUGACCGUAAAAGGAGCGUCCUAGGGCAAAACAGAUAACUAGGGCU
rnacentral:rRNA from 1 species